UUUGUGCAUUGUUCUCCCUGUACUGGAAGAGGGAGGGUAAACCUGAUCCCCUGGCUCAACUUACAAGGCUUACCAACAGCAGACAACCCUCUUCCUCCGGUGGGGGCUUUGUUGGAUGAUUGGCAUGAUGGCUAGGUUAAAAGUCGAAGGAUGGCCGACGCUUAUUUACUACCUGGGCUGAGAAGCUGAGAGCCAGUGGUUUACAGUGAGCUGUGGAGCCAGCUGGAGAAGAGUUCAAAAGCCAUCUGAUGAUCUGAGAGCUUGAAAGCUACCCACUCAAGACACAUCUCAGUUUUGUCUGCUUCCUCCCUCUUCUCUGGGAACGCACAGAGCUGAGGCCUCUCUCACAUCAGUUCAUUACCCCUUCUGCUGGAAGAUCACAGGCAGGGAACACUCAGGAGGUGUGGGAACUACCCUGAAAGUCCACCACCAACACCACCACCACGACCACGACCACCACCACCACCACCACUGUCCCUCUCAGAGUUUGUAACUCUCACAGACCCCAGGUUGAUGUAUGCCUUCCAUACAAGCAUUCGCUGGGGGAUUCUGUUUCCAGCCAACAGUGAGGACCCAUGUCUAGUUUUAGGGGCAUCGACUUACUCUGUGGUCUCAAACUUUUGGUGAAUUUAAAAAGGGAUGUUGAUGUGAUGUUGGCCCAGCUUUUCUUGCAAAGGUGAAAAUGAUGCCUUCUGGAUUUUUUGACAUCCCAGAAAGCAAAAGCUUAGUUUACAUUUUAGAGUUGUCAGACACGAUAAUAGAAAGGGU